rnacentral:rRNA from 1 species
CCUACGGGCGGCAGCAGUGAGGAAUAUUGGUCAAUGGACGAGAGUCUGAACCAGCCAAGUAGCGUGAAGGAUGACUGCCCUAUGGGUUGUAAACUUCUUUUAUAUGGGAAUAAAAUGUUCCACGUGUGGGAUUUUGUAUGUACCAUAUGAAUAAGGAUCGGCUAACUCCGUGCCAGCAGCCGCGGUAAUACGGAGGAUCCGGGCGUUAUCCGGAUUUAUUGGGUUUAAAGGGAGCGUAGGUGGAUUGUUAAUGCAGUUGUGAAAGUUUGCGGCUCAACCGUAAAAUUGCAGUUGAAACUGGCAGUCUUGAGUACAGUAGAGGUGGGCGGAAUGCGUGGUGUAGCGGUGAAAUGCUUAGAUAUCACGAAGAACUCCGAUUGCGAAGGCAGUUCACUGGACUGCAACUGACACUGAGGCUCGAAAGUGUGGGUAUCAAACAGGAUUAGAUACCCUGGUAGUC